rnacentral:rRNA from 1 species
GUGGGGAAUAUUGGACAAUGGGGGGAACCCUGAUCCAGCCAUGCCGCGUGUGUGAAGAAGGCCUUUUGGUUGUAAAGCACUUUAAGCGAGGAGGAGGCUACCGAGAUUAAUACUCUUGGAUAGUGGACGUUACUCGCAGAAUAAGCACCGGCUAACUCUGUGCCAGCAGCCGCGGUAAUACAGAGGGUGCGAGCGAUAAUCGGAUUUACUGGGCGUAAAGCGUGCGUAGGCGGCUUUUUAAGUCGGAUGUGAAAUGCCCGAGCUUAACUUGGGAAUUGCAUUCGAUACUGGGAAGCUAGAGUAUGGGAGAGGAUGGUAGAAUUCCAGGUGUAGCGGUGAAAUGCGUAGAGAUCUGGAGGAAUACCGAUGGCGAAGGCAGCCAUCUGGCCUAAUACUGACGCUGAGGUACGAAAGCAUGGGGAGCAAACAGGAUUAGAUACCCUAGUAGUCC